rnacentral:antisense_RNA from 1 species
AAGGUCGCUCCGCCUCGGUGGUGGUCACGCCCGGCCAGCUGUGGCCGCAUCCCUGUCGGCUAGCUCGAGUCUGGCCCACGGUGACUGUUACCCCUGGGGAAUAGGGCAGCUCUGAUCCAUCCAACGCUGCUGCACUGGAGACUGGUAUUUGGCUCCCACUUGCCUCUGUGGCCUCUUAUCACUCCCAUUCAUUCCCUGACUCUACCUCAGCCCUACAUGCUAAAAAUGCUGUUCUCUAAAUCUAGAAUGCCCUUCCCUUCCCAUUCCUACCCUCCAUCUUGACUGUUACUGGAAGUGUGAGCUCAAAUCCCAUUUUGCAUGGGAAGCAAGCCUUCCCUCAUCACCCAGAAUAAGGCAGGACACUCAUUUAUGUGCCAUCACAGCACUGUGUACUUACUUAAUGGUGAUAGUUUAUUUACAUGUCUGUCUUCUCUGGUGGCUCCAGGGAACAGACACUGUAUCUAUCUUGUUCAACAUCAUCAUCCUCAGCUAGAGAAUAACUGGCAGAAAGAAGGAGAGCAAUAAACAUUUGUUGUUGACAAUGGUCCAAAGGCUCCAGCCCUAACUCUUAGGCAGAAGCCUACUUUGUGUGUCCCCAAGGGUAGGAUAUGUCUUAUGCCUUGGACCUUGACAGUGACCAUGGCCAGGUGCCCUUCUCUGCCUUGCCCUGACCCUGAUCUUCACUGUUUUCCAAAAUGAGUUCAUUAAGAGAAUGAUUGGGCAGAGUAAUAGCUGGGGAUUACGUUGCUCUUGUCAAUAAGUUCUGGUUUUCACUUCUUUCUAGGGUCAGAAAUCAGGAGUGAGGACUUGUUGAAAGAAAUAGGAAGGAAUCAGAUCACAUAAAUGCUGGCCCCAAAUGUUUGCAUCAUAAACCCAUUGCCUAAUUUUACAGAUGAGAAAAUAAAGCUCUCUAAAUAACCACAAAGCUCCUACUCCUACUUCAGACAUAUCAGAAAAAUGAGAUAAUAAUGCACAAACCAAGUUUCAAAAGCUCUAUGGUAGGUCUGGAGAGAUGGAGAUCAGUUCUUGUCUGUCAGCCCCUGUUCUUCCAUUCUUAUAAGGUUACAGAAUCUCUAGCAAGGGACAUGACAGCUCAGGGAAAAAGCACACAUUUCCCAGCAUUCUUUAAGGCAAAGUGUGUCCAUGUGACCAACUUCUGGCAAACAGGCUGUAAGAAAAUGUGAUGCUGUGUCCUUAAAGACAAGGGACAUGCCCUCCCUGCCCCCAAACCUUCAUCGACCAGGUGGAAUGUUGACAAGGGAGAGCAUCAGAGCAUCUUGGACCAUGUGAAUAAGGGUGUGGCUGCUGGGGAUGACAGAGCAACUAAAAGGAGGAGGCACAGAGCUGCUAUAUCAGCCCCAGAUGGCUUACUUUCUGAUGAUACAUGAGAGAGAAAUAAACUUUCAUCAAAUUUAAACCACAUUUAUUUGGGUUCUUCAAAUUAAUUUCCAAGCCCAUAGCCUAACUAAUACCCCUAGAAAUGAGGAAGGAUGGAAGAAUCACACAACACAAGAGUUAAAAAAUUAAGCUGGCUCUUCGACUACAGCAUUCUAGAAGUUCACUUCCAUGCUGGGCCUGCAGCCAUGUAGUGUCAGUUUCCUCCUGCUCAGCUCUAAGGCUUCUUCUCCUGCACCCUUUGUCCCUGCAGCCCCAAGACCUCUCUAAAGCCCUUCCUCUCUGACCACCAGGGAAAGCUGACAAUCUUCUCAUGUAAAAAAAAAUCUUUUUUGUUGGCCAGGCGUGGUGGCUCACACCUGGAAUCCCAGCACUUUGGCAGGCUGAGGUGGGGGGAAUCACCUGAGGUUGGGAGUUCGAGACCAGCCUGACUAACAUGGAGAAACUCUGUCUCUACUAAAAAUACAAAAUUAGCCAGGCGUGGUGGCGCAUGCCUGUAUUCCCAGCUACUCGGGAGGCUGAGGCCAGAGAAUCGCUUGAACCCAGGAGGCGGAAGUUGUGGUGGGCUGAGAGAGCGCCAUUGCACUCCAGCCUGGGUGACAAGAGCGAAACUCCGUCUCAAAAAAGAAAAAAUAUUUCUUGUUGUUUCCAGUUUUAAUAGGACAGAGUAAAGAUGGCUUUGCCUGCUUCUUCUCAUGAAAACUGUGGCAAAACAACUGUCUGGUUGAUGUUCAUUCCAGGAGUUCAAGGCUGUUUUCAGGCUACAAAAUUUUUACCUACUUAUUGAUGUUGUGAGUUCUGUGAAUAAAUCAUUUAAUCUAUGUGGAGAAAUGUACUAGGGUAGGGCAAGGUCUUAUUCUCAAAGCAACCAAACAUAUAUAGGAAUAAGUUUACUAAUAAAUGUAUAAGACAUAUAUCAAGAAAAUUUUAAACAUUUGGGGACUAAACCAAUGAAAACCCCUUGUGUAAAUGGAAAGGCACAGGUAAUCCUUCAGUAGGAAGGGUAGUUUUCUUUAUUUAAUCCAUAAGUCCAACGUCAUACCAAAUAAAACCCCUAUAGGAUUUGUUUUAAAACUUGUGAAAAUGAUUCUAAAAUUUACGCAGAAAAAAAUGUUAGAAGUGACUGGACAGUGCCUCAUGCCUAUAAUUCCAGCACUUUGAGAGGCCAACGUGGACAGAUCACCUGAGCUCAGGAGUUCAAGACCAGCCUGGCCAACAUGGUGAAACCUUGUUUUUACUAAAAAUACAAAAAUUAGCCCAGCGUGGUGGCACACACCUGUAAUCCCAGCUACUGGGGAAGCUGGGGCAGGAGAAUUGCUUGAACCCGAGAGGCGGAGGUUGUAGUGAGCCAAGAUCAUGCCACUGCACUCCAGCCUGGGUGACAGAAUGAGACUCCGUC